rnacentral:rRNA from 1 species
UACGGGGGGAGCAAGCGUUGUUCGGAUUUACUGGGCGUAAAGGGCGCGUAGGCGGUCGUGACGAGUCACUUGUGAAAUCUCCGGGCUUAACUCGGAACGGUCGAGUGAUACUGUCGGACUAGAGUACAGAAGGGGCAACUGGAAUUCUCGGUGUAGCGGUGAAAUGCGUAGAUAUCGAGAGGAACACCUGCGGCGAAGGCGGGUUGCUGGGCUGAUACUGACGCUGAGGCGCGAAAGCCAGGGGAGCGAACGGG